AAUGCGCUUGUGUGAUCACUCUCCACUGAGGAGAGCUGUUGGAUAAUUGUCUCUUACAUAAGAGUGCAUUUGCACAUAAGACAUGUAAAAACAACAACAGAGCAACAGCGAGAGAAUGCAGUCCUCAGCUAUUUGUAAUGACGGUAGGGGCAUAAGAGAAAUGGGAAUCUUUAUGCCUGGUUCCACAGUAAUUAUUAUAUGGUGCCCAUUCUGCUGGUGGUGCAUUCAUCUCCUGGUCACCCAGAAGCAGAUGUCACCAGGAAGACGGAGCGACUGUCACGACUUCCGCCGAGGUCGGUCCCUCUCCUUGUUCGGGCGGCGUUCGGCGGUCGACGUCACCGGUCUUCUAGCCAUCGUUGAGCCAUCUUUCAUUUUCAAUUGGUUUUGUCAUUUUUUUUCUACACACCUGGUUUUCAUUAUCCAAUUACACGUUCAUGCAUUUAACCCUCGGUGUCCCCCAUGUUUGUUGUGCGUGAUUAUUUCUAUGUUCAGUUCGGUUCAUGAUGGCUGGCUUUUUGACUGGGUGCUGUGUUCACCCAUGUGUAAUAUUUACCGUUGGUAUUUGGUCAAGUGUAUUUUGUUUACCGUGUGCCUUUAUUUUUUGAGUAAAGUACAUUGCUCACUCAUUUUGCUCUCCUGUGCCUGACUUCAUGCACCAGCUACACUCAACUUCUGACAGUGACAGACUGCCGUGGCCAGGUUGAAAGGGUCUCCUCCCUGCAGCAGCCCACAGAUGGAAGAUGAGGUCAUUAUUUGCUGUGGAGCCUUUCUGUUUUCUCUCUGUUCUCUCCCUGUUUUCUUUCUGCAAUUCCAGGUGAUGGUACUCUGGUGGUAAAUUCAUGGAGGUGGAAUCGCAUCGUUGUAAAGAUUUUUGAGUUCGAUUAAAAUACUAUGCAUUAUCCACCAAUUAAUGAAAAGUUUGUGAAAAGAAGCAGUGUUCAUAUAAUGAUGGGGAAGUGUCCAA